CUGCGGCUCGCUGUUGAAGGCGAGAAACUUCACUAGUCACGGACUUUUUUGCCAAGUGAUUAUCAUAGGUGCACCGAAUUAAGUUCCUGGAUUUCCUCUGUUCCUCUUUACUUCCUAGAAGACUCUUGGCGUAAUGUGACGUCCAGUCUCUCUGAAAUGCACCCUUCAUCUGCUCCAGGAUGGUCGCUCCUCCAUCUGCCAGGCUGUUUCUCAUCAUCACCACCAGACCGACGCCUGCAUUUAAGGCAAAGUCACUGCCAACCCAGUCGUGGCUGCCUGAGGUCAGAAGACAGACAGGUGUUACUGAAAGGAUCACAACUAAAAGUCACAUACCACCUCCAGGGAGCAGUUGUGCAGGUACAAGCACAGAGACUUCAGUGAGGUGAGG